UACGUAGGGUGCGAGCGUUGUCCGGAAUUAUUGGGCGUAAAGAGCUCGUAGGCGGUUUGUCGCGUCGACUGUGAAAACCAGAGGCUUAACCUCGGGCCUGCAGUCGAUACGGGCAGACUUGAGUACUGCAGGGGAGACUGGAAUUCCUGGUGUAGCGGUGGAAUGCGCAGAUAUCAGGAGGAACACCGGUGGCGAAGGCGGGUCUCUGGGCAGUAACUGACGCUGAGGAGCGAAAGCGUGGGGAGCGAACAGG
rnacentral:rRNA from 1 species